CCCGUGCGCAGCCAUGUGCUUGAGCCCAAGCCCGUGCUGCGGUCACAGCAUGAGGAGACGAGGUCCCUGGCCUCAGAAUUUGCCUCCUCGUUUUGGAAGUAAGACCCAGCCAGGUGAAGCUAGCAACACCAGAGAGCAUAAAAUUAAGUGCUAAGCUGUACAGUCAAUGUCACAUUUUACGUUAAAAUUAGGAUUUGCCUAAAGAACAUGGAGGUUACUCAGAGACUGAUGGCUGAUUCGUGUCCCUGGGUGUCUUCCCAGCGUGUUCCAGACCCCGCACCACGGAGCCCAGGUGUGCUGCGCCCUCAGAGUGGCAGGUGCCACCUCUCUCUGCAUUUGCCUCUUCCCUUGAGUAUGUGCCCUUCUCUGGGUGAGAUCCCUGUGUGUAUAGAGUGUCAUAUUGCUGUCUCAUGCUGUCACAGGAGAGGGAGGGGCUUGAAAAGCAGAGGGGGAGCUUUGAUGCUGUCCCCGCGGGAGAGGGAUCGCCAGUCUCCAGCGAGAGCGGAAGGGCAUGAAACCAGAUGUGAGGUCCGUGUAAGUGCACGGGUCCUGUGAGGCUGGCAACAGGACAGAUGGUUGAGGUGAUGUUGGGCACCGAAGACACGGGCUCCACCAGCGUUGUGGGGAAGAAUAGGUUGUAGUGGCCGGUGGCUGCCAGGUACAGGGUCACUGCCAUGUUGAAGGGCAACGUGAAGACCGGGAGGUCCCACCUGCUGAAGAUGGAAGUCAAGGCACUGGAAAGAAGUGGGCUGAAGAUGAGAAAGACGAAAGGUUAAUCUGUGCUCAUCCUUAGGUCUACACCGUCUCAUUGGCUCUGGCCACACUGCCGCCCACUGUCCCCUCUCCUUGGCACGGCCAUUCCUGACUCUUGGAAACUCUAGUGGUCUAUUUAUCUGGGACUGGGAAUAAAGUGUUCAAUUCAAGGUGAAUCUUUGAGAAACAAAUUUUCAAGUAUUAUAAUUUGUUUUGAAUAGAAACUUUUAUAUUAAAUAUUUCCAUGUUCCUUAAACCAAGAAAAAGGAACAAAAUGUCUCCUUAGAAAAUGUCAUGUAUUGCCUUUGGAUCAUCGGGAUGUGCAACAGCGACUACCCUGGGCUGUGAUAACACUUUAGAAGUCUGGCCUGGUGGGAGGCUGCUGCUCUGGCACGUACAGAAACUGAAGAAAGGCAUGUACUUCUUAGAGAUGUUAAAAAUUAGUCAGCACGUCUCGGAGCUGCGGGCACGGACUGGAGGCCGCCGGGCACCUCAGGCUUCUGCCCUCUGGUGCUGGCGGGUCUGCGAGUGAUGGAGCCUCAGGCAGCACAGACCUGCCUC